rnacentral:rRNA from 1 species
CAGUAACGGCGAGUGAAGCGGCAACAGCUCAAAUUUGAAAUCUGGCUCUCGGGCCCGAGUUGUAAUUUGUAGAGGAUGCUUUUGGUGAGGUGCCUUCCGAGUUCCCUGGAACGGGACGCCAUAGAGGGUGAGAGCCCCGUCUGGUUGGACGCCGAUCCUCUGUAAAGCUCCUUCGACGAGUCGAGUAGUUUGGGAAUGCUGCUCUAAAUGGGAGGUAUAUGUCUUCUAAAGCUAAAUACCGGCCAGAGACCGAUAGCGCACAAGUAGAGUGAUCGAAAGAUGAAAAGAACUUUGAAAAGAGAGUUAAAAAGUACGUGAAAUUGUUGAAAGGGAAGCGCUUGUGACCAGACUUGGGCUUGGUUGAUCAUCCGGGGUUCUCCCCGGUGCACUCUUCCGGCUCAGGCCAGCAUCAGUUCGCCUCGGGGGAUAAAGGCUUCGGGAAUGUGGCUCUCUCCGGGGAGUGUUAUAGCCCGCUGCGUAAUACCCUGUGGCGGACUGAGGUUCGCGCAUUCGCAAGGAU